CUGCCUAGUGCUCACCUCGGACUGUGUGGUGAAGGCGGGAUCCUGCCCAUUGGUUUACAGCACUUGCAGAAAAUCCACAUGUUAUCAUCUGCCUGAGUGUAAACGUUCCCGACCAAUUAUCUACGUGUUGAUUGAGAUAAUUUUCCUGGAUCCUAUUUGUCACCAUGUAACGUACAGAGCAGAACAGGAUGCAGGCAGCACCUAUGUCGAAGGAGAGUGUAUUGCACCAGGAAGGAAGAGCCCAGAAAGGAAAGUCCACCCACGUCCUCUCUACCUGGCAUCAUUCCUGGGGGCCCGUGAGUGUCCUGGUGUGAUACCCUGCUUUUAGGCUCUGCAUGCAUCAGAAUUACAGGAAAGCAAGGAGCCACGACCCUGGCAGUGUCUGCCAACCUAACAGCAAGCAAGGACUGAGAUUCCAAAGGAGGAAGCAAGUCUAUGAUUCCCUCUGCUUAAAGCCAGUGUGGUAUGUCUGAACCUGCUUGAUUUUUUUCAAUAUUUGGACGAGAACAAUCAGGAAUUGAAAUCGUAAAUUAGUCUAUGUCUACUGUGCAUGACACUAAUUUUUCUUCCUGUCUCAGAGGGCCUUUGUGUUGCAGAGCCUGUAGUGUAAGCACAGAAUCAUGUGUCCAAAGAGGAUCCCCAGGGAGAUGCUACAUGGAGAGGCAGCCCCAGACCCUGGCAGGAAACCAGCCCUUCACCUCCCUCUGCACCUGCUCCUGGGCAUGAAGCACACACAUAGUGAUUGUGGGUCUUGAGUGCCCCCUGCAGCCCAUACCCUGUGUCCCUGCAGAGAGGUUUUUGUCUGGGCUGACAUGCCUUCCCCUCACUGUGCCUGUUGCACAGUAAUACCGGGCCGUGUCUUCGGUUCUCAGGCUGUUCAUUUGCAGAUAGGCCGGGUUCUGGGAGUUGUCUCUGGAGAUGGUGAAUCGGCCCUUCACAGAGUCUGCGUAGUAGGUGCUACUACCACUAGUACUAAUAGCUGCCAGCCACUCCAGCCCCUUCCCUGGAGCCUGGCAGACCCAGCUGAAAGCGUAGUCACUGAGGUCGAAUCCAGAGCCGACACAGGAGAGUCUCAGAGACCCCCCAGGCUGCACCAGGCCUCCUCCAGACUCCACCAGCUUCUCCUCACCCUGGACACCUUCAAACUCCACCAGCUUCACCUCACCCUGGACACCUGCAAACACAAAACAUCCUGGUCAGAAAACUGUCACACGCACACUGAGGUGCCCUCAAAUCCUCUUUUUUCUCCCACCCACAGGAUUUACAUUGUAAGAGAGCAAACAAGACCACCCAGUUCAGCCGAAACUCCAUGGCGGGUGGUCUGUGUUCUUUCCUGAUCGCAGAAUGGGAUCCUGGGGCUGGGCUCCUUGCCAGAGCUGCAGGGUGAUGGCAGGGCUGGUUUUAUCUGCUGAGGGAGGAACCCAUUUGCAUGGCCUCCUAGUAUAUAAGCGGUUAUGGCAUCGAAUGGCCUCAACACGGCAGGUCCCCAAGGCAGGAAUGAGUGUCUUGAAGUUGGUUGUGUUGAUAGCAUUUACGAAUAUGCAUUUUCAUUACGUCAGUUUCUUCACGGUAAACACCUA
rnacentral:lncRNA from 1 species